GAUGGGUGUGGUGGCCCAUGCCUAUAGUUCCAGCUACUUGGGAGGCUGAGGCAGGAGGAUGGCUUGAGCUCAGGAGUUCGGGGCUGUAGUGCACUAUGCCUAAUGGGUGCCCAUACUAAGUUUGACAUUAAUAUGGUGAUCUCCUGGGAGUGGGGGGCCACCAGGUUGCCUAAGGAAGGGUGAACUGGCUCAAGCUGAAAACGGAGCAGGUGAAAACUCCCACGCUGAUCAGUAGUGGGAUCACACAUGUAAAUAGCCACUGCACCCCAGCCUGGGCAAGCCACAAAAAACCAGAA
ensembl:misc_RNA Metazoa_SRP Metazoan signal recognition particle RNA